rnacentral:lncRNA from 1 species
UACUUCAGAUAAAUUAACAACCGUUAGAUAUCCUUCUUUUAAGUGUGCUUGAGUAUCUUUCCAUAGCUUUAUGAUUUUAGUUCUUUUUUUAUAAUAAUUGGUCCAAACUCUAGUUAUUCUUGAUUCUGAUUUUGGCUUAGCAAGUCUAAUUUUUUACUCCUGAUCUGCUCUACAUCGCCCGGCUUGUGAAAGGUGGCCACUGUACUACCUUGGGCCUAGCUAAUUUCGGUCGACCAUAGGGAGGGCCUCCCUACGGUCGAUCUUCCGACCGUCUUUUUUUCCUUUUUUAGUAUUUUUUAUCUUUUUUUGACAAAAAAAUUUUGAGAAACUUUUCAAGAAAAUAUUUUGGAGAGAAUGGAAAUUUUGAUGAGAAAAGUUUGAAAGAGAAAGUUUUGAGAAAAAUAUUGAAAAAAUUUUGAAGAAAAAACUUUUGCAUCCAAAACAAAAAAAAUUUCAGAAAAAUGUUUUGUAAAAAACUUUUGCAUCCAAAAAAAGGAAAAAAAGCAAAAAAAAAGCGCCGCUACCCCGGGAAGCUCCCCGCCGCCGCCGGGGGCGAGC